GAUGAUGUAGCUCAGGGGUAUAGCAUUUACCUAGCAUGCAUGAGGCCUGGGCUCAAGCCCCAGCAACACUA
rnacentral:tRNA from 1 species